rnacentral:rRNA from 1 species
GACGAACGCUGGCGGCGUGCCUAAUACAUGCAAGUCGAGCGAAGUUUUUCUGGUGCUUGCACUAGAAAAACUUAGCGGCGAACGGGUGAGUAACACGUAAAGAACCUGCCUCAUAGACUGGGACAACUAUUGGAAACGAUAGCUAAUACCGGAUAACAGUAUUUCUCGCAUGAGAGAUAUUUAAAAGUUGGUUAUGCUAACACUAUGAGAUGGCUUUGCGGUGCAUUAGCUAGUUGGUGGGGUAAAGGCCCACCAAGGCGACGAUGCAUAGCCGACCUGAGAGGGUGAUCGGCCACACUGGGACUGAGACACGGCCCAGACUCCUACGGGAGGCAGCAGUAGGGAAUCUUCCGCGAUGGGCGAAAGCCUGACGGAGCAACGCCGCGUGAGUGAAGAAGGAUUUCGGUUCGUAAAGCUCUGUUGUUAGGGAAGAAUGGAUAUGUAGUAACUAUACAUGUAAGAGACGGUACCUAACCAGAAAGCCACGGCUAACUACGUG